rnacentral:rRNA from 1 species
AUUGAACGCUGGCGGCAGGCCUAACACAUGCAAGUCGAGCGAGCGGCGGACGGGUGAGUAAUGUCUGGGAAACUGCCUGAUGGAGGGGGAUAACUACUGGAAACGGUAGCUAAUACCGCAUACCCUCAGGUGUGCCCAGAUGGGAUUAGCUAGUAGGUGGGGUAACGGCUCACCUAGGCGACGAUCCCUAGCUGGUCUGAGAGGAUGACCAGCCACACUGGAACGGAGACACGGCCCAGACUCCUACGUGAGGCAGCAGUGGGGAAUAUUGCACAAUGGGCGCAAGCCUGAUGCAGCCAUGCCGCGUGUGUGAAGAAGGCCUUCGGGUUGUAAAGCACUUUCAGCGGGGAGGCGUUACCCUCAGAAGAAGCACCGGCUAACUCCGUGCCAGCAGCCGCGGUAAUAC